AUUAAUUUAUAUAUUAUUACUCGUAUAUCCUCAGUAAUAUGGUCUGAGUGUCUCUACCUGGUUCCCAUUGAAAGAACUGGACUACGAGUUAAAGUAUUAGGCUG
rnacentral:ncRNA from 2 species